GUAAGCGGCCAGUGCACGCACCCACCUCACCUACUUAGCACCAGUGCUCACUUGGGGAGACACGCUGUUUGGAGGCCAUAAGCACAGCAGACACAGACCCGACCGGGAGCGCGUGCACCUGAGCGCGCCUCCGCAUGACCCUGGACAUGACCUUGCUCUGUCCACGUAUCGUGGAAAUUGUUUUAAUGGAAAUGGUUCCUGCGUCAAUUGUAUGGUCUUACACACAAUUGAACAUACAAUUGAACCUCUGAACCAAGGCUGCAAGAGGGCCCUUCAGACUAGACGCCCUGCACCUCCUGGGAGGCUCGCACACGGACGUGGACACAGACAGACGCACGUAGAAACGGACACAGAGACAUGGACAGACUGACGGACACACACGAACAGACACAGGUCUACUGCCAUGUCUCCCCAGGCUCCUCUGGUCGUGGUUUCCCGACCCCGUUGUCCUCAAGGAGGGCUCUGGGACGUGUGCGAGGUCCCUCCGGGAAGGCCUGGAGCCACGGGCUCGGGAGAGUCUUGUCUGGUGGUGGCGUUUCCCAGAUGGCGGUGUAUCUUGUGGCUCAUGUUGAAAGCCGGACACCUGUGCGGGGUAAGUGGCACCGGGCGAGGAAGGCCUUUCUGAUGGGCUUUGUGUUCUUUUGGCCAGAGACAGGCUGCGCUUGCCGGUGGCCUCGGCACCAGGGCUCAGAGGCCGUGUCGUCUCCCCUUCUGGCUCUGGGCGUCCCUGUGUCUGCAGGCGGCCACACGUGCGGGACGGAGCGUCUGGGACCUUUCCUCCGGGGCACGGUGUCCCACACUCAGCCCAGGCCUGCCCUGAUGGGGACCAGUCACCGUGGGGACCGAGCCCUCCUCUCAGGUGGAGGCGUUUGCAUCCUCACCAGGAGAACCUGGUAUGGUUCCUGGAGGCAAAACCGUGAAGAUGCGGAGUCUGUCCUUGCUCA